rnacentral:lncRNA from 1 species
GAACUGGGGGAGCUGGGAGGGACUGGGAGUGUCCCCAGUGAUGUCCCCGUGUCUCCUUUGAUGUCCCAAUGUCCCAAAUCACCUCAACGUCCCAAAUGUCCUCAGUGACCCCACUGAUGUCCCAAUGUCCCCAGUAUCCCCAGUCCCCCGAUGCCCUCAGUGCCUCCAGUGCCCCCAACGUCCUCAUUGUCCUCGCAUGUCCUCAGUGUUCCCGAUGUUCCCCCCAACAUACCCAUAUCCCCGCUGUCCCCAACGUCCCCAUCCCGCCAAUGUCUUAAGGUCCCUGAUGUGUGCUAUGUCCCCAAAAUCCCCAGAGUCCCCAAUAUCCCCUUCAUGUCCCUCAUUUCAAUAUCCUCGAUAUCCCCAGUAUCCCCAAUGUCCCCACAGUGUCCAAAUGUUCUCAAUGUUACAAUGGCCGCCAAUGUCCCCAGUCCCCCCAAACCCCCUGAUGUCACCAAUGUCCCAACAGCCCCGUGUCCCCAACCUGCCCAAUGUCUUCAACUUCUCCAGUGUCCCUGAAUGCCCCCUGUCCCUGCCAAUGUCCUCACUGUCUCCAGGUGCUCUGUGUCACUGCACCGAGUCGCUCCGGCAGCGCCUGGAGGAGCUGCGGAAGCUGCAGCUGCAGCGCCGGGGGGAGCGGGAGCUGCUGCGGGGACGUUGGGGACAGGCCCGGGACCUGGUGCUGCACUUGCGGGGACAGCGCAGGGACAGCACCGGGGACACCCCCGGGGACAACAGGGACACCCCCGGGGACAGCAGGGACACCCCUGGGGACACCAAGGACACCCCUGGGGACACCAAGGACACCCCUGGGGACGUCUGGGACACCAAGGACACGCCUGGGGACAUCAGGGACACCCUCAGGGACACUCGGGACAUCUCCAGGGACACCCCUGACACCAGCACCAAGGUAUAUGUGGUCCCCCCCCAUGUUCCCUCAUCCCCCCUGUGUCCCACUCCCACUGCACCCACCAUGUUCCCCUUCUUGUGUCCCCCAGUGUCCUUCCCCCUCCCUGGCUCCCCGGCCCCCUUGGGCACCCUCCAAUGUGUUCCUUAUG